rnacentral:tRNA from 1 species
GCCUCCUUAGCUCAGUGGUUAGAACACUGGUCUUGUAAACCAGGGGUCAUGAGUUCGAAUCUCAUGAGGGAGCU